CAGAGUAGUCAUGGGGUACAAUUGAAGCUACUACCACUAAACCCAGCAGCUGGAUCACAGUAAAGGAUUUGAAUCAAAGACAUCAAGAUUGAGUCAUGGACAAACAAAUGCAUUUGGGAGCAGCUUCGUGCAGAUGCCAUGGAAAGUCCACGUACUCUUGUGAAAACCACUGGACAGCACACAACAGCAGGAGCCUGAGGAAACAGCGUAUGGUCACCUUGAACUUUGGAGUGAAAACAUCCAGAUAAAGAGUAUUAAAAACUCUUAAAUGCAAUUCCAGGAAAGAGCCUUCACAA